rnacentral:rRNA from 1 species
AUUGAACGCUGGCGGCAGGCCUAACACAUGCAAGUCGAGCGAGCGGCGGACGGGUGAGUAAUGUCUGGGAAACUGCCUGAAGGAGGGGGAUAACUACUGGAAACGGUAGCUAAUACCGCAUACCAUCAGAUUUGCCCAGGUGGGAUUAGCUAGAAGGUGGGGUAACGGCUCACCUAGGCGAGGAUCCCUAGCUGGUCUGAGAGGAUGACCAGCCACACUGGAACUGAGACACGGCCCAGACUCCUACGGGAGGCAGCAGUGGGGAAUAUUGCGCAAUGGGCGCAAGCCUGAUGCAGCCAUGCCGCGUGUGUGAAGAAGGCCUUCGGGGUGUAAAGCACUUUCGUCGGGGAGGCGUUACCCGCAGAGGAAGCACCGGCUAACUCCGUGCCAGCAGCCGCGGUAAUAC